UUAGGAGGGUGUGUGCCAGUAUUAUAUUCAAAGAAUACAGUGUUUGGCAGUAUUAUAAUAAUUAUUGUUUUCAUAUAGAGGAUCAGAAUGCAUUGGCAUAGUGAGGAGACGUCUGGGCAUCAAGUUCUGCAGAGAGAAGAUUUAGCUGGAACAAAUCCUGGCGCCAAUCAGAGAGCAGCACUACUGAAAUAGAACUCCCAGGAGUGAGGGGCCGGUGCUGGACACUGUGUAGGGACGCGGGAAUGCAAAGUCAUACACAUGACUGUGACUGAUGCACUAUCUCCAGGACAUGGAGUAGCAUUUCCGGACCUACAGCAAGACGUUGGAUGAAGGCAUAGCCCCAGAAAUAACACUGGUCCUGUUCAUCAGUGAGGGGCCGGUGCUGGACACUGUGUAGGGACACGGGAAUGCAAAGUCAUGCACAUGACUGUGACUGAUGCACUAUUUCCAGGACAUGGAGUAGCAUUUCGGGACCUACAGCAAGACGUUGGAUGAAGGCACAGGCCUAGGAAUCAUGCACAUACACAGAAACAUUUGCCCAAAUUAUAGAGGUAACCUCCUUUAGUAUGCCCAGAGGAAGGGCCAUACAGUAGCCAUGGAUUCCCUACAGGUUUCCUCCCCUCUGGAGGUUUUUCCUGUCCUGAGUAUUAGUUACUGUACGCUCUUUGUGAGUGAUGGGAGGUUACAAAAAAUCCCCUACACAAACAUUUUAAUAAAUAAUAAAUAAA